GCGCAGCAGGCGCGAAACUUCACACUGUGCGAAAGCACGAUGAGGGAAUCCCAAGUGCUUGCACGUAAGUGUAAGCUGUUUCUCUGUUUAAAACGCAGAGAGAGUAAGGGCUGGGUAAGACGGGUGCCAGCCGCCGCGGUAAUACCUGCAGCUCAAGUGGUGACCGUUAUUAUUGGGCCUAAAACGUCCGUAGCCGGUUUAAUAAAUGCCUGGGUAAAUCGUGUAGCUUAACUAUACGAAUUCCGGGUAGACUGUUAAACUCGAGACCGGGAGAAGUUAGAGGUACUCCUGGGGUAGAGGUGAAAUUCUGUAAUCCUAGGGGGACCACCAGUGGCGAAGGCGUCUAACUAGAACGGGUCUGACGGUGAGGGACGAAGCCCUGGGGCGCAAACGGGGAUUAGAUACCCCCGUAGU
rnacentral:rRNA from 1 species